UAGCCGUAAACGAUACUCGCUAGGUGUCGGCCACGGUGCGACCGUUGUCGGUGCCGUAGGGAAGCCGUGAAGCGAGCCACCUGGGAAGUACGGCCGUAAGGCUGAAACUUAAAGGAAUUGGCGGGGGAGCACCACAACGGGUGGAGCUUGCGGUUUAAUUGGAUUCAACGCCGGAAAUCUUACCGGGACCGACAGCAACAUGAAGGCCAGGCUGAAGACUUUGCCGGAUUAGCUGAGAGGAGGUGCAUGGCGUAGACGUCU
rnacentral:rRNA from 1 species